UGAAACAGUUUGACUUUGCCUCGAGGCAUUUUGUGCAAUGGCCUUGACGUGAUUCAUCUCAGCCAGUUGCUUUGCCUUGCCUUGGAGCUACAUCCAGCAGGGCCAGUAGCUUUCUGGAAGAAGGGCUACAGCUGAAGCAAGGGUGGAUGAAGGGAUCGCCUCAUGAAGCAGCUUCAAAGGGGUACUUUGCUCAAACCAUUCUCCAAGCCAAAUAUGUUUUCCCCGUGGAAUUCCUUGCUUGAAUCAUCAGGAAAGGCAAUGCUGCUGUUAUUUAAAUCAUUCAGAAGGACUGAAAUAAAAUGAUCUAUGGAAUCAUGUUGCCAUCUACGUUCAUGGAUGACUGUACUUGAAUUGCUGUCUACAUUUUGAUCCCUACAUUUGAAAAAAAAAAAGAAAGAAGAUAUUAUACAGCUGGAAAAGAUGUUUCUUGAAGAGCAUUGGGGCACAUUAGGAUAAGAAGCAAAGAAUUCAGCUGAGCAGGCUUCUGUAGGCAUCUUUCUUCCAAAUGUUGCAGUCAGAGAUGACCCAAGAGCUGAACCAGGUUGAAUCAAAGCCAAGGAAUAAUAAGAGCAUAUCUAAGGAGAACUCAUUGAUCAGGAAGAAUGCUGCCUGUUCUUGGGGAGAAGACAGUCUUUGUUGACAAAGAUGUUCCAAGUGCAGUGGUUAUAAAACAUCACAAAUGGGAAAGAGUGCCUGAACACAGAACCAAAUGCUCUUAUCCUGGUAGAUCAACCUCAACAACCUCAACAA